CCAGACUCCUACGGGAGGCAGCAGUGGGGAAUAUUGCACAAUGGGGGGAACCCUGAUGCAGCGACGCCGCGUGGGUGAAGGAGUACUUCGGUACGUAAAGCCCUAUCAGCAGGAAAGAAAAUGACGGUACCUGACUAAGAAGCCCCGGCUAACUACGUGCCAGCAGCCGCGGUAAUACGUAGGGGGCAAGCGUUAUCCGGAUUUACUGGGUAUAAAGGGAACGUAGACGGCAGUGCAAGUCCGGAGUGAAAGGCGGGGGCCCAACCCCCGGACUGCUCUGGAAACUGUAGAGCUAGAGUGCAGGAGAGGUAAGUGGAAUUCCUAGUGUAGCGGUGAAACGCGUAGAUAUUAGGAGGAACACCAGUGGCGAAGGCGGCUUACUGGACUGUAACUGACGUUGAGGCUCGAAAGCGUGGGGAGCAAACAGGAUUAUACCCCCGUA
rnacentral:rRNA from 1 species